rnacentral:lncRNA from 1 species
CAAGUGCAAAGAGCAACAAGAUUUGGUAACACGGCAACCAAUUCGGACUCAAAACCGAUUCCAACUCGAACUUCAACACCACGUGGGAUUUGGUCUCCAACAACUCAGAUUCCUACUCGGACUUGAACACAAAGAUGUACUCAGAUUCAGCCAACAGAGGGUUUAUAUGGUAGCACAAGGCUGUGACUAGAACAUGACAAGAACUCAAAACUCUAAUGGAUAAAAACUAAAACCAACAACUCGACACAACCGAUGUAACCAAAAACUCAACAAGCCCUAACAAAGCAGU